AUUUUGCUUAUCCCAGACAGCCCUCAAACCUGGGAAAGCUGCUGACAGUGGCAAAAGCUCAUCUCCUGCCCACACCUGUGCUGUAGUGGUGCUACCCUAAGGCUCCUUUGUGGACUGGAGACAAACCCUAACACUGCCCUUCUUCAAAGGAGGAAGAAAUGGACUGCCUAUGGAUUCUAACACUGACUAGGCAUUUAAAAUCCUUCAUCUCUUUUUAAGUGAUGUUGGCAACCUAAUUUUGACUCCAUAUUUCCAUGAUGCUGAAGGAAAAAGAGAAAAAGAAUAAUUACAAAAAAGAAAAUAAGCAGAAAUUGUUUCAGUGAGGUGUUUUGAUCACCCCCAUGAGCUGUUUUCUUGCUGUGUUGUGCGUGACUGAAAAUCAGAAAGUGAAUCUGCUUAUUUCCAAAUGGAAGCUGACCAGACUCGUUUCAUCAGACUGCAGCAAAAAUAGCAAACAAGGGAAAAAUAAACGUAGGUGAUUAGAAUUAUUUCCAUUCUGACAAAGAGAAUUCAUGAAUGACACAGGAAAAGCUUCCUGAAAAAGAAAUUAAAAACCCAAAUUAAAGUUCUUUGAAUGGGGGGAGUUGAACAGGUUCCCACCUGUGGUGUCACAGACUAUCAGUGACAAAUGACCUUUGGAUCUGCUCCCUGGACCGUCCCUGGAGCUCCAUCUCUCCCCUGGACCAUAACCUGGGCUCUCUAUAUGCUGCUGCUUGCUUCUGGACUAAAUUUCAACCCUGAACAAGGAGCUGAAUAAACAAAUUACUGCCUGUGCAUGUGUGUUUAUUAGGAAAAAAAAAAAAAACCCACACUGAUUACUUGGCAGCCUGAUGUUUCAUAAUAUCACAAAGGGUUUUGAGAGAUGAACAGCUAAAGCAAACCCUCCGUGAAAAUCAAUAUCUCCACCUGUGGGAAAUGGAAAGAUAACAGGCAAUUGUGACUAAAAAUGCAAUUACUACAAGAGAAAAAGAUUCACUUUCCUUCAUAUACAUAAAAAUCAUGAAAAGAUGUUUUCAUCCUAAGCAAAGAAGGCCUGAAGCUGGUUUUUAGUCUGCAUUUAGAACCAAUAAUAAUCUUUCACCUAUUAUAUGUAUUCCUGAAAAAAAUUUAUUAUUCUUCAUCUCACCUAGAAGGUUCUCCACUUCAAGUCAAUUAUUUAAGCAGAUGCAAAGAAAUAAGAUAAAGUAAAUAUUUGACUUUGAGCCUUUAUAAAUCCUGUUUUCUUUCAGCCAUUCAAGAUCAAACUUCUAAUGCAACCUCAGUGUGUACAAGACAGUCUUCCUAGUUUUUUAAAGAGGUAUUCUAUGUUUUAACCACUGGUAAAAUUUAAAAGAAUAAGUCCAUCCACCACAAAGAAGGAAGACCCAUUCUGCACAUUGUGGGAUGGUUGGAGCUGGAAAAACUCUACAUAAAACUUAGCAAAAGUCCUUCUCUCUCACACUGCAUUUGUGAUUUCAUGUCUUGACCUGGCUGCUGAUUGCUCUUACUUUGAUUAGAGAAGUUCAGCCUCCUCUCAGAGGGUCAGUUUUCUGAUUUUCCCAAUCAAUGAGCGAAAUAUUCACUUGCAGGACCCCCACACCUGGGGUAAGGAGAGCUUUAGGAGUGAUGUGCAAUGAUUGCUGCCCUGCUGGGUUCCUCUGCUGCAGGGUGAGGGGCUGCCCCUCCAAAAGAAGCCACAGAGGAUAAAUUUGCUUGUGAUCCACAAGCAGCUGAAGAGCCACGGUGUGGUCACUUGAGCCACCUGCUCACUCUUGUGUAUUGCCCUUUCCACUUCAGCCUCUCACUGGUAGCUCCAAACCUUUGGACUGCGUUUCAGAUCAUUGGCAGCAAAUCUAAAUUCACCUCUGCUUCACCCAAUCUCCAUUCACACCCAGCCUUUGGAACUGCAGAGUUAUCCUUGGGAAAGAAGCCCAGACCUGCUGCAGAGACGACCUAAAGAAGCACAGAGGAGUCAAAUUUCAGGAUUAUUUACUAAUUUUGUGACUAUGUAAAGCAUGAACACAAAUCCUGAAAUUUUGCAGUCAGAUCUCUGCAGGUAGAUCCACUGCACUGUACACAUUCCCAGUGGAUUAGAGGGAAACUGCAUGGGAAUGAGGAGCCAUCUCCAUGACCUUAGGUCUCACGUGGAAGCCUGGAGGCUCUCUUGCAUUAUCAGUUCCUCCAAAUUCAGCAUUCUGGCCUUCUGUCUGCACACCAAUCUACAGUGUUGACCUCCUGUGACUGCUCCAUGAGUGGGGUCAGCUAAGGAACAUCUCCUUAAGGUCAAGUGGGUAGAGGACAUGAUUUGGCAGGAGGGACAAGGACUCAGUGCUGCACAGACAUUGUCACAGAGAGCAUUGCUCCCACACAAGAGAGACAGAGAGUGCUUCAGCAUUCCUGAAAAGCCUCUUUGUUAAGAAGAAAAUGGCUUAAGAAUGGAGACUGUUGCUCGAAUCUGUCACUGAAACAAAUACAGAGAAUGAAACUAU